GCAGUUGGAUGGUCUGUCGCUGGUACCGAAAGGUAAAAGAGGAAAGUCCGGGCAACAUAGAGCAUCUUACUUUUUAACGGAAAGCUAUCUGUGAAGGUAGAGUAAUGCAGAAGAAAACAACCGCCUUAUAUAAUAAGGUAAGGGUGAGAAGGUGGAGUAAGAGCCCACCAGCCGUAUGGUGACAUAUCGGGCUGUGCAUCUUAGGAGUUGUAAGGUCAUGUAAACCGGCACUAUGAGGGUUGCUCGCCCCAGUCGGAGGGUAGACCGCUUGAACUUAUUGGUGACAAUAAGUGUAGAUAAAUGACAGACGCCUUGUCUUGACAAGGAACAGAACCCGGCUCAUAGUCCGACUGCUUUC
rnacentral:RNase_P_RNA from 1 species